rnacentral:rRNA from 1 species
ACAGACUCCUACGGGAGGCAGCAGUGAGGACUCUUGGUCAAUGGUCUGCCGCCUGAACCCGCCCCGUCGCGUGCGGGCAGAAGGCCCUGCGGGUCGCAGACCUCUUUGGACGGGGAGCAAGGCCGCCGCCGUGUCGGCGGAAGGCGAGUACCCGUAGAACAAGCAUCGGCUAACUCCGUGCCAGCAGCCGCGGUAAUACGGAGGAUGCGAGCGUUAUCCGGAUUUAUUGGGGUUAAAGGGUGCGCAGGCGGCACGGCAAGCCGGCGGUCAAAGCGCGGGGCUCAACCCCGCCCAGCCGUCGGAACUGCCGGGCUAGAGUGGGCGAGAAGUGCGCGGAAUGCGUGGUGGAGCGGUGAAAUGCAGAGAGAUCACGCAGAACGCCGAUUGCGAAGGCAGCGCACCGGCGCCCUACUGACGCGCAGGCACGAAAGCGGGGGUAUCGAACAGGAGGAGAUACCCCAGUACC